rnacentral:rRNA from 1 species
GAAUGCUGACAUAAGUAACGAUAAAGCGGGUGAAAAGCCCGCUCGCCGGAAGACCAAGGGUUCCUGUCCAACGUUAAUCGGGGCAGGGUGAGUCGACCCCUAAGGCGAGGCCGAAAGGCGUAGUCGAUGGGAAACAGGUUAAUAUUCCUGUACUUGGUGUUACUGCGAAGGGGGGACGGAGAAGGCUAUGUUAGCCGGGCGACGGUUGUCCCGGUUUAAGCAUGUAGGCGGAGGUUCCAGGUAAAUCCGGUACCUUUUAACGCUGAGGUGUGAUGACGAGGCACUACGGUGCUGAAGUAACAAAUGCCCUGCUUCCAGGAAAAGCCUCUAAGCAUCAGGUAACAUUAAAUCGUACCCCAAACCGACACAGGUGGUCAGGUAGAGAAUACCAAGGCGCUUGAGAGAACUCGGGUGAAGGAACUAGGCAAAAUGGUGCCGUAACUUCGGGAGAAGGCACGCUGGUGUGUAGGUGAAGUCCCUGCGGAUGGAGCUGAGACCAGUCGAAGAUACCAGCUGGCUGCAACUGUUUAUUAAAAACACAGCACUGUGCAAACACGAAAGUGGACGUAUACGGUGUGACGCCUGCCCGGUGCCGGAAGGUUAAUUGAUGGGGUUAUCCGUAAGGAGAAGCUCUUGAUCGAAGCCCCGGUAAACGGCGGCCGUAACUAUAACGGUCCUAAGGUAGCGAAAUUCCUUGUCGGGUAAGUUCCGACCUGCACGAAUGGCGUAAUGAUGGCCAGGCUGUCUCCACCCGAGACUCAGUGAAAUUGAACUCGCUGUGAAGAUGCAGUGUACCCGCGGCAAGACGGAAAGACCCCGUGAACCUUUACUAUAGCUUGACACUGAACAUUGAGCCUUGAUGUGUAGGAUAGGUGGGAGGCUUUGAAGCGUGGACGCCAGUCUGCGUGGAGCCAACCUUGAAAUACCACCCUUUAAUGUUUGAUGUUCUAACGUUGGCCCCUAAUCGGGGUUGCGGACAGUGUCUGGUGGGUAGUUUGACUGGGGCGGUCUCCUCCCAAAGAGUAACGGAGGAGCACGAAGGUUAGCUAAUCCUGGUCGGACAUCAGGAGGUUAGUGCAAUGGCAUAAGCUAGCUUGACUGCGAGCGUGACGGCGCGAGCAGGUGCGAAAGCAGGUCAUAGUGAUCCGGUGGUUCUGAAUGGAAGGGCCAUCGCUCAACGGAUAAAAGGUACUCCGGGGAUAACAGGCUGAUACCGCCCAAGAGUUCAUAUCGACGGCGGUGUUUGGCACCUCGAUGUCGGCUCAUCACAUCCUGGGGCUGAAGUAGGUCCCAAGGGUAUGGCUGUUCGCCAUUUAAAGUGGUACGCGAGCUGGGUUUAGAACGUCGUGAGACAGUUCGGUCCCUAUCUGCCGUGGGCGCUGGAGAAUUGAGGGGGGCUGCUCCUAGUACGAGAGGACCGGAGUGGACGCAUCACUGGUGUUCGGGUUGUCAUGCCAAUGGCACUGCCCGGUAGCUAAAUGCGGAAGAGAUAAGUGCUGAAAGCAUCUAAGCACGAAACUUGCCCCG